CGGGCGGUAGCUCAGCUUGGUAGAGCUUCCGAGCUUGCCACCGGAGUGUCGCAGGUUCAAAUCCUGCCCGCCCGACCA
rnacentral:tRNA from 1 species